AUUGAACGCUGGCGGCAUGCUUUACACAUGCAAGUCGAACGGCAGCGCGGGCUUCGGCCUGGCGGCGAGUGGCGAACGGGUGAGUAAUGCAUCGGAACGUGCCCAGUAGUGGGGGAUAGCCCGGCGAAAGCCGGAUUAAUACCGCAUACGACCUGAGGGUGAAAGCGGGGGACCGAAAGGCCUCGCGCUAUUGGAGCGGCCGAUGUCGGAUUAGCUAGUUGGUGGGGUAAAGGCUUACCAAGGCGACGAUCCGUAGCUGGUCUGAGAGGACGACCAGCCACACUGGGACUGAGACGCGGCCCAGACUCCUACGGGAGGCAGCAGUGGGGAAUUUUGGACAAUGGGGGCAACCCUGAUCCAGCCAUGCCGCGUACGGGAAGAAGGCCUUCGGGUUGUAAACCGCUUUUGUUCGGGAAGAAAUCCUCUGGGCUAAUACCCCGGGGGGAUGACGGUACCGGAAGAAUAAGCACCGGCUAACUACGUG
rnacentral:rRNA from 1 species